GUCGAUAAUGUUGUGUUUAGUUGUAGCAGGUCGAUAAUGUUGUGUUUAGUUGUAGCAGGUUGUAAUGUUGUGUUUAGUUGUAGCAGGUCGAUAAUGUUGUGUUUAGUUGUAGCAGGUCGAUAAUGUUGUGUUUAGUUGUACAGGUUGAUAAUGUUGUAGCAGGUUGAUAAUGUUGUAUUUAGUUGUAGCAGGUUGGUAAUGUUGUGUUGAGUUGUAGCAGGUUGGUAAUGUUGUGUUUAGUUGUAUAGGUUGAUAAUGUUGUGUUUAGUUGUACAGGUUGAUAAUGUUGUGUUUAGUUGUAGCAGGUUGGUAAUGUUGUAGCAGGUUGGUAAUGUUGUGUUUAGUUGUAUAGGUUGAUAAUGUUGUGUUUACUUGUAGCAGGUUGGUAAUGUUGUAGCAGGUUGGUAAUGUUGUGUUUAGUUGUAGCAG
rnacentral:lncRNA from 1 species